UUCGCCCUUUCCGAAGUCUCUCUCCAUCUCUCUCCCUCUCUUUCUUCUUCUCACAUUUCUUCUUCUACUUCUCUCCUUUCUUCCCUUUCCGUCUGCACUCUUCUUUAUUUUCUUACCUUCUUCUAAACAAAUAAACAAGAUAUGCAAAGAAAUUUUAAUUUUCUACCGAAUGUGGAUCUUUUUUUUUUUUUUCCAUUUUUUUGUUGCAAUUUUUUUCUUCUUGCAUGCCAGUGGAAUAUAUUUCGUGAACCUAUUUCGGAUUUCCACCCGAACGCAAGCUUCAAAGCGACAAGAGGAACUUCAUGAAGACAUGGUCUGCAGAUAUGAGUGGCGUCAUUCGCUGAUCUCCAAGUAUAUGUUGCUACCUCUGUUUUGCUGUUGUUUUACUCUUUCCUUUGGUUUUUUUUCUUUCCAUGCUUCUAAGUUAAUGAAGAAAUUAGUGGGAAAAUUUUGUCUGA